GGUUCCGUAGUGUAGUGGUUAUCACGUUCGCUUUACACGCGAAAGGUCCCCGGUUCGAGCCCGGGCGGAACCA